rnacentral:rRNA from 1 species
UUGGAGGGCAAGUCUGGUGCCAGCAGUCGCGGUAAUUCCAGCUCCAAUAGCGUAUAUUAAAGUUGUUGCAGUUAAAAAGCUCGUAGUUGAAUUUCGGGAUUAGUACGCUGGUCGUGCCUUCGGUACGUACUGGUGUUACUGAUCCCUACCUUCUGACGAACCAUCAUGUCAUUAAUUUGGUGUGGUAGGGAAUCAGGACUGUUACUUUGAAAAAAUUAGAGUGUUUAAAGCAGGCUCGCGCUUGAAUACAUUAGCAUGGAAUAAUGAAAUAGGACGUUGAUCCUAUUUUGUUGGUUUCUAGGAUUGACGUAAUGAUUAAUAGGGAUAGUUGGGGGCAUUAGUAUUCAAUUGUCAGAGGUGAAAUUCUUGGAUUUAUUGAAGACUAACUACUGCGAAAGCAUUUGCCAAGGAUGUUUUCAUUAAUCAAGAACGAAAGUUAGGGGAUCGAAGACGAUCAGAUACCGUCGUAGUCUUAACCAUAAACUAUGCCGACUAGGGAUCGGAUGAUAUUAUUUUUAAUGACUCAUUCGGCGCCUUACGGGAAAC